UGUCAUGAAUAAGUGAGAAUUGUAUUUUAAUUAUGUUUUGGUUUUUUUAAUUGCAUGUGACCUUUAACCUUCAUUUGUAAGGUU